GGGCUUCCAGCUUAGUCCCGACGGCGCCUCCUGUCUGGAUGUGGACGAGUGUCGCUACGAGCCUUGCCUCAACUUCGCCUCGUGCUCAAACUCGGUGCCAGGCUACCACUGCUCCUGCACUAGCGGCUACGCAGGCCACAACUGUGAGCAGCAGGCCGGACCCUUGGCCUUCCCCCUAGGCGGCCUGCCUGUCCUGCUGGCCUUCACCUUCUCCCUCGCUACUGUCUUAGGUUUGCUGGCGAUUGCAGUAGCAACUUAUUUU